rnacentral:rRNA from 1 species
UACGGAGGGUGCAAGCGUUGCUCGGAAUUAUUGGGCGUAAAGGGUAGGUAGGUGGUCUCAUUUGUCUGGGGUGAAAUCCUUGAGCUUAACUCAAGAAGUGCCUCAGAAACGGUGAGACUAGAGUUCUGGAGAGGGUCGUGGAAUUCCCGGUGUAGUGGUGGAAUGCGUAGAUAUCGGGAGGAACACCAGUGGCGAAGGCGGUUGCCUGGAGCUUUGCUGACGCUGAGGCGCGAAAGCGUGGGGAGCGAUCAGG